GUUGUUGUGGCCGAGUGAUUAAGGCGAUGGACUAGAAAUCCACUGGGGUCUACCUGUGCAGGUUUGAAGCCUGCUGACAACG